rnacentral:rRNA from 1 species
GUCUAGAGGCUUCGGCAAUGGGGGCAACCCUGACCGAGCGACGCCGCGUGUGGGAUUGAAGGCCUUCGGGUCGUAAACCACUGUCAAGAGGGAAGAAUGUCUGGAUGGCGAAUCCGGAAGCGACGGUACCUCUGGAGGAAGCCCCGGCUAACUCCGUGCCAGCAGCCGCGGUAAUACGGAGGGGGCAAGCGUUGUUCGGAUUUACUGGGCGUAAAGGGUGUGUAGGCGGCUGCGCAAGUCUGAUGUGAAAUCUUCACCGCUCAACGGGAAGAGGUCAUUGGAAACUGCGUGGCUUGAGUAUGGUAGAGGCAAGCGGAAUUCCAGGUGUAGCGGUGGAAUGUGUAGAUAUCUGGAAGAACACCGGUGGCGAAGGCGGCUUGCUGGGCCAUCACUGACGCUGAAACACGAAAGCGUGGGGAGCGAACGGGAUUAGAUACCCCAGUAGUCC